UACAGGAAGUAUUAUAAAGGGCCAUGAAGUGAAUUAUGAGGAUAUAUGUAAUCUAAACCAACAGUGUGACUUUCAGGGUUUAUGAUUAUCCAAGCCAACACACACACAAAUGCUUUUAGCAGAAUAAUAUUUAAAAAGGAGAUUUUCUUUGCAACACAGAAGCCUUUGACCCUAAUAUUUCACUUAAAAACUCAUCAGACUGUCGCGUGCGUUAGGUGCUUCUCUCCAAACCAGACUAAUCUGCUGCAAAAAGUCAUCCAAGUCUGGCACCUUCGACCCAGACACUGUCUACAUAGCAAAAAUAAUAUUACCAAUUCUAAAAGCAAUAGUUAGAGAAAUAGAGAAAUAGACACACGACUCCAUUUUGCAUGAUUAGGGCUCCUGUGAUGGCAGGGGAAAUAUGAGGAUAAGAAUGGGAUGCCAUAAAUAUCAAGGUUUUUUUUUUAUUAUUAUUAUUUACACCAGUUAUUUUCAACACUCAGGAUAUUUCACUCUCUCAGAAUGACCCUGAACACAGUCUCUGUAUCCUAAACAUUUAUUUCCUAAACAAUUGCUCGUGUCAGUCUUAGAAAUUGAAAUGAACACAAUGUUUCAUGUUGGAAUUGUUGCAUCGCUGCAGAUUUCCUAAGGCUCGGUCCGAGCAUUGGAAUUAAAAUGAGAUCCCGCCGAGAAUUUAAGCUUUCCUCUGAUUGGUCAUUCAAGGCUCUCGACCAAUCAGGGACGAAGAUAUUACAACGUAAACAAAGGAAGCGGUAUGUCAACAAAGCAGCGGCUGUGCAGCAGUGAAUGCGGGUGAAGCAGCGGUUCACAAAGCAACUCCAUAGGCUAUGUUUUGCUUUAUAAUAAGUAUAAAAACUAUAAACAGUAACAUCGAAUCAGAGACAGCAAACAAAGAGGAAACAGUUUUUAUGACUGACGAGGUUUUUUGCAGAGCUGGAGGGUGAAAGUGAGGUAGAAUAAAUAACUGGAUUAUUGUACAUCUGAGGAAGACUAUUUUCUCCAGGAAAAGGAUCUCAAUCAGAUUGGGACAUAUAUAAUAUUUACAUGAGUGAGCAUUAUAGAAGGACUGAUUUUAAUUCAGAUAAGGAGCAAUUCCGACUAAGAAAUGCCGGCAUACCUUUCCUACACAAACUGGGUCCAGGGUCAUCACCUUCACGUUAAGUUCCUCCACCAGCACAACUCCAGCUCAGGUUUUGGGCGAGGAUGAAGAACCCAUGUGAUGUGAAAGAUCACUCUGAAAGAUGAAGAACCCAAGUCUUCUGGAUUUCCAACCAAAGCGAUUUCUGGGGCCACAGCUCAUCCCAGCAUUGCUGUUCUCACCACUCCAGUUGUUCCAACUGUUUUUAGCAGUUGUGCUGGAUAGAAGAAAGCAGCGACUGCAAAGGUGUUCAAAUGGGUUCCUCUGUCUGCCAGUGAGUUUGAAACUUUUCUGUCUGUUGUAAUAUAAUAUACUCUUGAUAAAAGCAGAGACUUCAGCAGAUUACUGCUCUUGAAAACAAAUUUCUUGACACCCAUUCCCCUCUUUGGUGAUGAUUUUAAAACAUUUUUUUUGCUCUUUUCUGGAACAUGUAUAUUUGUGAUCCUUAAGAGGAUGCAGAAAAUAUGAUGAAAAAAGAACCUCAGAAUGACAGAUUGUUCAAAAUUAAAUCUCCCUACACACAUAAGCAAUCAUGAUACUCUUCGUUCUUCCAUCCCAUCAGAGAACAGCUGAGUGCAUAGUGACAUCUAAAGCAAGAAAUGGAUCAAAACUGUAUAUGAAAACAACACCUGCUGAACUGGGCUACAAAUUAAUUGUUCUAUCAGCUUCAGCUAGUGGAUAUGCAAAUUUUUUUGUGUGUAAGGGAAAGCUAUCAUCUAAAAUGAUAAAGCCAGUUGACUGGAUAAUUCACUGCUAGGUGAAGGAUACAAGGUUAAGAUCUUCUAAAGAGUGCACUGAGAAGAACCAUCCACCGGUACAGGGGUGGAAAGCUGCUGUUUAUAAAGUAGAUGGACAUAAAGGAGAUGACUCUGCUCCACAACGCACAACACAAGACCUAUACAGGAAAUACAGAGUGAAACAGAGAGGUUUGGAAAAUGAAAAAUUAACAAGAGGAUUGAACUAGUACCAGUUUUCUAGUUCCUGCAGCAAUGAAAGACUAUAACAAGCACAUGGGCAGUGUUGAUUGGAUGAUAUAAUGUCCUGAGCAAAACAAAAUAGUGAAACAAGAUAUUCUUUCCCCAUCUUAUUGAUAUUGCCAUCAUCAACAGUUUCAUUCAUCAACAACUAGCCAAGUAACACACAAGACUCUCUCACACAGAAAGUCUUCAGGUAGAACCUAGUGCCUGAAUUUGCAGGCAUUGUAUAAUAUCUCCUCUAGUUGCCCAGCCAGCACAAAAAAGUGGUGCAUGCCUGUCUUCUUUUCAACAGAUGCUACAAACAGGUGGCAGGUAUGUGUGCUGUGCAGUGAGUUAGGUGAAAAUGACUACUGCAUACAUACUGCACAAAGUGCCAUGAGACAUCGUCAAUGCAAAGAGCAAUCGCUUUGAGCGCUUUCACAUAAUUAGACAUUAAAAAAAUGUGAAGUUCAGUGUCAAGGGUCCAUGUGUAACAUAAAUGUGGGUCGCAUGGUGGCAUAAGCAGGUAGUGUUGACACCAAACAACUCCAGGGUCUUAGUUUAGGUCCUGAGGUUGGGUUAUUGUCUGUUCUUCCCAUUUCCACUGGGUUCCCUGGUUUUCUCUCACCUGCAAAAAAAAAAAAAUAAUAAUAAUAAUAAGAGUAGGUAGAUUGGCCACUCUAAAUUAGCCCUAGAUGUGAAUGAGUGUGUGAAUGUGCGUGCAUGGUGUCCUGUAAUGGACUGGCGUCCCACUCAUGGUGGGAUAUGUCUCAACACAUCUCAAGAUAUAUCCCGGAUCUGCUGCGACCCUCACAAAGCACUUACUGAGGAUGAAUGAACCUAAGUGUGACAUAACAAAAAAAAAAGUUUCCUGCCUCUAUUUAGAUUUGCUAAUUAGUCUGCACUGAUGGACUAAACACUUGCACAAAAGUAUGUUAAAGUUGAUGCUUGUAGCCGUUUACCACUGUGCUAAAUCUUUAAAUGUUCCAGUUUUUCACCAUGAAAGAGGUGUUUCAUGUUUGUUCAUGUUCAAAAUUGGUUCAGAUCUGAAACCAAAAAGCCAAAUUGCUUUUGGUCUACAACCAAGAGCUGGUAACAUCAGGGGCUUGGGGGCUGUGCAAUUUUUCCCUCCAUUUAAUGGCAAUUUAAUGGUAGAUGUGUAAAAUUAUUUACAUUUAAAUAAGACAAACAGAGAUUAAAAUUGUUGUUGGAAAUAUUUCAAAAGGAAUACUAAUAUUAACAAUUUUACUAGCAAUUGCAAAAUACUGAAUGGGUGAUACGAUGCUAUAACUAAUAAAACUUACUAUACACUCAAAAAUAGGUACUUGUAAAUUUCCUUGUGACUAAGGGGUACCCUCAAAGGCACAUCUUUUAUGUAUGCAAUAUGUAUCUUUCAUCUCAAAAGCUGGAUAUAAUGUACCUUGAAAAAUGAUUAAAGCUAUAUAUGUA